rnacentral:rRNA from 1 species
AAGCGUAGCGAUACGUGGAGCUGACGAAUACUAAUCGAUCGAAGACUUAAUCAA